rnacentral:misc_RNA from 1 species
GGAAUUGGAACCUGUGGUUAAAGAGGAGGGGAAGAAUUGCUUUAUGAGAGUGGUUGCAGCCAUGAUUUUUGGGACUGGAUGUGGGGCAUUGACAGCUUUUGUUGCAUUGUAUUUAUGGACAAUCUUUGGUAAUAGACGACCAGUGGUUCCUGAGGAGUUUGCGGGGCAACAGAUGGAUGUUAAGUACGAGAAAGUGGUGGUGUUGGAUAAAGCCAUCGAAGAUGAUGGUAAGAAGAAGGUUGAUGUUUGAAUUUGGAAAAAGAAAAACAAUUGUGU